UCAAGAAACUUCCACAAUGGGCGAAAGCCUGAUGGAGCGACGUCGCGUGAUGGACGAAGUGCUUCGGCACGUAAACAUCUUUUAUGUGGGAUGAAAUUAUUGACAGUACCACAUGAAUAAGGGGCUCCUAACUCUGUGCCAGCAGGAGCGGUAAUACAGAGGCCCCAAGCGUUAUCCGGAAUCAUUGGGCGUAAAGGGUGUGUAGGUGGCAGUGUUAGUCGAUUGUUAAAACCUGGGGCUCAACCCCAGAUGUGCGAUCGAAACGGCACAGCUAGAGGAUGGCAGGGAUGUAUGGAACUCAUGGAGUAGGGGUGAAAUCCGUUGAUAUCAUGGGGAACACCGAAAGCGAAAGCAGUACAUUGGGCCACUCCUGACACUGAAACACGAAAGCGUGGGUAGCGAAUGGGAUUAGAUACCCAAGUAGUCCCUGAGCGGGCUGGCAAGGCGCAU
rnacentral:rRNA from 1 species